CCUACGGGUGGUAGCAGUGGGGAAUAUUGGACAAUGGGGGGAACCCUGAUCCAGCCAUGCCGCGUGUGUGAAGAAGGCCCUCGGGUUGUAAAGCACUUUCAGUGAGGAAGAACGCCUGGUGGUUAAUACCCAUCAGGAAAGACAUCACUCACAGAAGAAGCACCGGCUAACUCCGUGCCAGCAGCCGCGGUAAUACGGAGGGUGCGAGCGUUAAUCGGAAUUACUGGGCGUAAAGCGCGCGUAGGUGGCUUGAUAAGCCGGUUGUGAAAGCCCCGGGCUCAACCUGGGAACGGCAUCCGGAACUGUCAAGCUAGAGUGCAGGAGAGGAAGGUAGAAUUCACGGUGUAGCGGUGAAAAGCGUAGAGAUCGGGAGGAAUACCAGUGGCGAAGGCGGCCUUCUGGACUGACACUGACACUGAGGUGCGAAAGCGUGGGUAGCAAACAGGAUUAGAUACCCGUGUAGUC
rnacentral:rRNA from 1 species